GCGGGUUGUGAAAUGCGCCCUGGGCUUUGGAGUCAGGUGGUAUUUGAAUCCUGCCAGCAUCCCUGACUAGCUGGGCCACCUUGGGCAAAUCACUAGGUGAAGACCAAGGUUUCCUGGAGUUCUAACCCUCAUCCUCCUUACCAGUUGAUCUACGUGACACCCGACCCUGCAGUUCUAGCUUGAAGCAUCUCGGAGGCAGAAACGGACCUGCGUCUUCACAGGCAGCAAGAAAUGAGCAUUUUAGCGCAGGAAUGCUGCAGAUGUUAUCUAGUACACCCUCCUCGUUUUGUUGGAAGAGAAGACUGAGAUACAGAAAGGUGACAUACAGAAAGGUCAUCGAGGAGCAGCAGCACUACAAGCCACAGUAAGUCAGUAAUGGCUUUCCUGAUAUCCGAUUCGUUAAGUGGAACACAUUCUUGAGACUUGAAAAGUGAGAAAAAUAAACCUUUAAGGUAAGAUACAGAAAACGUCAACUUCGGCUACAGAAGAGCAGGAACUUGUAUUUCUAGGAGCGGGUACAAGUGGACAGGGACAGCCAGGAUACAGAGGGGAUGAGG